rnacentral:rRNA from 1 species
ACUAAGCGUACACGGUGGAUGCCCUGGCAGUCAGAGGCGAUGAAGGACGUGCUAAUCUGCGAUAAGCGUCGGUAAGGUGAUAUGAACCGUUAUAACCGGCGAUUUCCGAAUGGGGAAACCCAGUGUGAUUCGUCACACUAUCAUUAACUGAAUCCAUAGGUUAAUGAGGCGAACCGGGGGAACUGAAACAUCUAAGUACCCCGAGGAAAAGAAAUCAACCGAGAUUCCCCCAGUAGCGGCGAGCGAACGGGGAGCAGCCCAGAGCCUGAAUCAGUGUGUGUGUUAGUGGAAGCGUCUGGAAAGGCGUGCGAUACAGGGUGACAGCCCCGUACACAAAAAUGCACAUAUUGUGAGCUCGAUGAGUAGGGCGGGACACGUGGUAUCCUGUCUGAAUAUGGGGGGACCAUCCUCCAAGGCUAAAUACUCCUGACUGACCGAUAGUGAACCAGUACCGUGAGGGAAAGGCGAAAAGAACCCCGGCGAGGGGAGUGAAAAAGAACCUGAAACCGUGUACGUACAAGCAGUGGGAGCACGCUUAGGCGUGUGACUGCGUACCUUUUGUAUAAUGGGUCAGCGACUUAUAUUCUGUAGCAAGGUUAACCGAAUAGGGGAGCCGAAGGGAAACCGAGUCUUAACUGGGCGUUAAGUUGCAGGGUAUAGACCCGAAACCCGGUGAUCUAGCCAUGGGCAGGUUGAAGGUUGGGUAACACUAACUGGAGGACCGAACCGACUAAUGUUGAAAAAUUAGCGGAUGACUUGUGGCUGGGGGUGAAAGGCCAAUCAAACCGGGAGAUAGCUGGUUCUCCCCGAAAGCUAUUUAGGUAGCGCCUCGUGAAUUCAUCUCCGGGGUAGAGCACUGUUUCGGCAAGGGGGUCAUCCCGACUUACCAACCCGAUGCAAACUGCGAAUACCGGAGAAUGUUAUCACGGGAGACACACGGCGGGUGCUAACGUCCGUCGUGAAGAGGGAAACAACCCAGACCGCCAGCUAAGGUCCCAAAGUCAUGGUUAAGUGGGAAACGAUGUGGGAAGGCCCAGACAGCCAGGAUGUUGGCUUAGAAGCAGCCAUCAUUUAAAGAAAGCGUAAUAGCUCACUGGUCGAGUCGGCCUGCGCGGAAGAUGUAACGGGGCUAAACCAUGCACCGAAGCUGCGGCAGCGACACUAUGUGUUGUUGGGUAGGGGAGCGUUCUGUAAGCCUGUGAAGGUGUACUGUGAGGUAUGCUGGAGGUAUCAGAAGUGCGAAUGCUGACAUAAGUAACGAUAAAGCGGGUGAAAAGCCCGCUCGCCGGAAGACCAAGGGUUCCUGUCCAACGUUAAUCGGGGCAGGGUGAGUCGACCCCUAAGGCGAGGCCGAAAGGCGUAGUCGAUGGGAAACAGGUUAAUAUUCCUGUACUUGGUGUUACUGCGAAGGGGGACGGAGAAGGCUAUGUUGGCCGGGCGACGGUUGUCCCGGUUUAAGCGUGUAGGCUGGUUUUCCAGGCAAAUCCGGAAAACUAAGGCUGAGGCGUGAUGACGAGGCACUACGGUGCUGAAGCAACAAAUGCCCUGCUUCCAGGAAAAGCCUCUAAGCAUCAGGUAACAUCAAAUCGUACCCCAAACCGACACAGGUGGUCAGGUAGAGAAUACCAAGGCGCUUGAGAGAACUCGGGUGAAGGAACUAGGCAAAAUGGUGCCGUAACUUCGGGAGAAGGCACGCUGAUAUGUAGGUGAAGUCCCUCGCGGAUGGAGCUGAAAUCAGUCGAAGAUACCAGCUGGCUGCAACUGUUUAUUAAAAACACAGCACUGUGCAAACACGAAAGUGGACGUAUACGGUGUGACGCCUGCCCGGUGCCGGAAGGUUAAUUGAUGGGGUCAGCGCAAGCGAAGCUCUUGAUCGAAGCCCCGGUAAACGGCGGCCGUAACUAUAACGGUCCUAAGGUAGCGAAAUUCCUUGUCGGGUAAGUUCCGACCUGCACGAAUGGCGUAAUGAUGGCCAGGCUGUCUCCACCCGAGACUCAGUGAAAUUGAACUCGCUGUGAAGAUGCAGUGUACCCGCGGCAAGACGGAAAGACCCCGUGAACCUUUACUAUAGCUUGACACUGAACAUUGAGCCUUGAUGUGUAGGAUAGGUGGGAGGCUUUGAAGUGUGGACGCCAGUCUGCAUGGAGCCGACCUUGAAAUACCACCCUUUAAUGUUUGAUGUUCUAACGUUGACCCGUAAUCCGGGUUGCGGACAGUGUCUGGUGGGUAGUUUGACUGGGGCGGUCUCCUCCUAAAGAGUAACGGAGGAGCACGAAGGUUGGCUAAUCCUGGUCGGACAUCAGGAGGUUAGUGCAAUGGCAUAAGCCAGCUUGACUGCGAGCGUGACGGCGCGAGCAGGUGCGAAAGCAGGUCAUAGUGAUCCGGUGGUUCUGAAUGGAAGGGCCAUCGCUCAACGGAUAAAAGGUACUCCGGGGAUAACAGGCUGAUACCGCCCAAGAGUUCAUAUCGACGGCGGUGUUUGGCACCUCGAUGUCGGCUCAUCACAUCCUGGGGCUGAAGUAGGUCCCAAGGGUAUGGCUGUUCGCCAUUUAAAGUGGUACGCGAGCUGGGUUUAGAACGUCGUGAGACAGUUCGGUCCCUAUCUGCCGUGGGCGCUGGAGAACUGAGGGGGCUGCUCCUAGUACGAGAGGACCGGAGUGGACGCAUCACUGGUGUUCGGGUUGUCAUGCCAAUGGCACUGCCCGGUAGCUAAAUGCGGAAGAGAUAAGUGCUGAAAGCAUCUAAGCACGAAACUUGCCCCGAGAUGAGUUCUCCCUGACUCCUUGAGAGUCCUGAAGGAACGUUGAAGACGACGACGUUGAUAGGCCGGGUGUGUAAGCGCAGCGAUGCGUUGAGCUAACCGGUACUAAUGAACCGUGAGGCUUAACC